AACCAGCACCUCAAGUGGUCAGGAUGAUUAUUGGGCCUAAAGCAUCCGUAGCCUGUUCUGUAAGUUUCCGGUUAAAUCCAUACGCUCAACGUAUAGGCUGUCGGAAAUACUGCGGAACUAGGGAGUGGGAGAGGUAGACGGUACUCGAUAGGAAGAGGUAAAAUUCUUUGAUCUAUUGAUGACCACCUGUGGCGAAGGCGGCUCACUGGCUCGAUACUGACGCUGAGGUACGAAAGUGUGGGGAGCAAACAGG
rnacentral:rRNA from 1 species